UAAUAGUGACAUCUUCAGCACGUUCAGAAUGCAGAGUUAAAUUACCAGCAAUUGUUUUCUACAUAUGUUCAGUAAUAUUAAUACUGAUACUUACUCUGAAGUUUUGGUUGCCUUUUCCUUUUUGACUUAUAUCCAGACUUAGUCGUGGUGAACUUGUCCCGGUGAUUUAAAGUGUGACUAGCUUAGUCUGGAUCUGAGCUCUUAUCUCUUGCAGUUCAGUUCAUUUCCUGAGAUGGAUGCUGUUUACUUUCCCCCAAAUUCAUUUAUUCUGCUUGGAAAAGAAAGUUUGGAAAAGACAAGAAAUAGUUCAAUCCUGUACCUGUCUACCCAGAAAAGAUGAGCUGCACUGAAAUGGAAACAAUACUGCAUGUGACAACUACAGGGCGGAAAGGAAAACAUUGCCUUCUUAUAGCCAUAUUCACAAGUCAUUCCACAAUCUUCCAUACAUACGAGGGGGAUUUGCCAGUUCUUCGCUUUAUCACACUGAGAUCUCCUUGAGCCAAAUAAUUUGCAUAAGAAACUGCUGAUAUAGAUGGCUCCUAUCAAUCACAGACACCUCCGUUGGGUUUCGGCGUUCAGGAA
rnacentral:lncRNA from 1 species